rnacentral:rRNA from 1 species
UGGCGGACGGGGAGGUAAUGUCUGGGAAACUGCCCGAUGGAGGGGGGUAACUACUGGAAACGGUAGCUAAUACCGCAUAACGUCGCAAGACCAAAGAGGGGGACCUUCGGGCCUCUUGCCAUCGGAUGUGCCCAGAUGGGAUUAGCUAGUAGGUGGGGUAACGGCUCACCUAGGCGACGAUCCCUAGCUGGUCUGAGAGGAUGACCAGCCACACUGGAACUGAGACACGGUCCAG